AGGUGCCCCGAUGGCAAUCAUCUCUUGGGACUGAUGUGCAAAGAAGAGAAUACUCAUUGCCUAUCACAU